AUGAUGGACAUGAUAUAAUGAAACAACAUUGUAGAGAGGAAAGCAUUAGGGGAGCCCACGGCUACAAAACAAGUGAGUGAGAAGGUGGGAGAAAGAGAAACUACGCCACCUCCUCUGCAGCCGAGCGCACGCAGCAGCCUGGCGUGACAAGUGGGCGACGCCGGGGGCAGGGAGUGGGGGUCCUCCGCCCGCUCCGGGGACCCUGUCGCCCACCGUGCGCAGAGCAACUUUUAAUCGGCAGCCCGGCACCUGUCUCAGAGUCUCCAUCGCUCCCCGCCACCAUCCUGGGAAAAUUCUAGAAGAAUACGCUCUCGGAAUCUACGUGCGCAUCAUUUUCCUCCUCGCUCCGGAGGAAGGAACCAGAAGAGAGAGCAAAGCGGUGCAGUGUUCAGCCUCAAGAACCACCAUGCAUCCCAAGGAUGGUGCCCUCUACUGGAGGACUUUUGCCUCAUUUUCGGGAAUCUUUAACUGCAACCUCGUUGCUUCUUAGGGUUAGAAGAAUUGAGCUAACAGGAGUCUGCAACCUCUCUGCCUUGCUGAUCCACCGAGGCAGAGGGUCACUGGUUUGCAGGAGUAUAUGACCACAGAUCAGAGAGCCACUGGCCGCACACAUACCUGAUGCUUGGCUCUCGGGAAGACUCAGCAGAGAUGGGGAGUUGGCCUGCAAGCUGGAACUCCAGGGCUCAUUUGCAGUUCUCCAUUUAGCUAGGAGGUUUCCAGGGCAACCACCUAAGCAGUAAUUAAAGACGAGGAGCUAAAAGGUAUGUACUUAAGAAUCUGAAUCCUCAAAUGCGGUGGUCGGCAGGUUGGUAUCACAGUAUGCACUUUUCUUCAUUGAACAUAAAUUUUAAAAAAAUCUUAACAUUCAAUUAGAUGACACACACUAAAUGAGGAUGUGCACUCUAUGCUUUCAUUUUUAUCUUUUCACACGUGA